CUGACAUCCCUGGAAACUGAAGUCUUCUACCAACACAGCUGGGUCAAGCUUCCACAUGUUGCCUCAAUCCUGACCUUGAGGGAGUACCUCUAGGAGUGAGAGUGUAGUUUGGUCUCCAUCACCAUUGAGGCCUUGGCCUCU
rnacentral:sRNA from 1 species